UCUUUUCUUUCAAAGCUGAAGAGCCAGCGCUGUCCGAAGACGUCUCCAUGGUCAUGUGGCCGCAUGACUCAAUGCUGAAGGCGCACUGAGCGUUGUUAUCUAUAAUCUGUGCCAAUUGUUAAGUACAACAAUGGUGGACCUAAAACACAGGUGCCACAUGCCAUAUCAUUUUGGGUGACAUGACUUCAAUAACACCCAACAACAUCUAUUCUCAAAAGCAUACUCUAUUCUCAGAUGACUUUUGGAGGCUGCAGAGGCCCUGCGAGAAUGAGUUGCACUCUUCUGUGGCCAUUAGACAUUCUGGAAUUUACUCAGGAGAGUUGUGCUCUAGUACAGCCUCUGGAGCCUCCCCCCCAAAUAACACAAGAACGUGGUGUGCUUUUGCACAGUUUUUAGAGGCUGCAGAAGCAUAUUCUCCAAAACUGCUUCAAGAACGAAGAUCUUGUGCAACCCGGAGUAGCCUUAGGUAGGUCGUACGGGCUUCUUAACAGAAAGACAACAGUUCCUGGAGGUAAGGCCUGCGGCAGAUCCUGGAGAAUGCUGGACCAUGUGCUGUUCCCCAAAACCUUUGGGGUAUAGUGCAAGGCAGCCUGUUUGAGAAGUACCGUAGCAAUGAUGCUAGAGCUAAAGUAGAGGCCCAGGUCUUUAACUUCUGGCCCAACCUCAAUAGCCACUGAUCAUCGCUCUUCCUAAAAGCCUAAAAGGGUAGGGGGAGAGAGGGAAUAGAUUUUUUUGGUGUCUGUGUAUGUGUGUGAUGACAGGGCAGCAGAAUAAGGCAUUUUUUGAAUUUUGGGCAUGCGGAGUUCAAAUGUUUUGCCAUUACUGUAUAGUGACCAGAUGUCCCGCUUUUGGCGGGACAGUCCUGCUUUUUAAUAAUUUGUCCCGCGUCCCGUAGCAAUUCCAAAAAGUCCUGAUUUUUUUUUUGUUUUCACUCCCAUUCUGAAAAUGGGAGGUGGCAACGCAAGAAGAAGAGACGGAGAAGGGGGAGUGGCGGAGAAGGGGGCACGAGAGGGAGGAGAGACGCCCUUGACUUCAUCCGAGAGGAAGAGAAGAGCCGAGGAGAGCCGAGCCUGCCUGGAAGAGCUGAGAGGAGAGCCGAGCCUGCCUGGAAGAGCCGAGAAGCAGCAGCCGCUCCUCCUCCUUCAGGCAGGUGGCAAGACUCAGUGCGCAUGCGCAGGCCCACCCCCACCCCCCCGGUCAAUGGUGUCCUGCUUUGCCAUUGCUGAAAUCUGGUCACUUUACAUUACUGGUCUAAGAUAGAUCUGUUGUGACCAAGGCCUAAGUUGUGAUUACUAAGCACAAUUCAGUCCGCAACAAACUUAUUUUAUUAAAACAUCUGAGAAUUAAUUCAUCCUCAGCUUAGGCCAAAAUAAAAUUCUUAAUAACCAGCCCGUUGGUGUUAUCACCAACCUCUGAUGUCUUUGGCAACCUGUCAAAGGCUUUUAUUGGCAAAACCACCACAAAGUUCAAGAGACGCUGACAAGAAGCACAGAAAUCAACCUUGCUUUUCUACUAAGAAGCCAAUGGCUCGUUGCUGCUCUUUUAAGCCUUAUGGAAGUGGCCAAUCAUCUUCUGGCCUUACUCCCCAAAUGUCCUUUUUUCUUCAGCUGCUCUUGCCUUCUGGCAGCUCUUCGCAUACGUGCACUAGGAACAGCCUCCUCCUGUUCCGCUGCCUCUCUGCUGUCUGCCUCUGAAGGCUCCGGAGUUUGCGCAUCGCUCCCAGAUGGCUGUCGUGUCCCACUCCUCUGCUGACGGCCGGGUCAGGGAAAUCCGAAUCAGGCAAUAUCGAUGUUGUAAUCCAACUCACCUGGAGUGCCACAGCUUAGGAAAGGCUCCCUUAGUGGCUGUGAGAGCUGGCACUUGUCCAUCACCAACAUAAGUGCGCCAACUCUUGGAUCUUAUCUUAUGACUGAAAUGAAAGUUAACAGCAGAUGGGACUCUUGCAUUGGGACUCUACACACGUACUCUCUCUCAUACUGUGGAACCUUGUUGUGGACUCAUCUUUUACAACCUGAUUUCCAAAGGUUUUACAAGCUGGAAGGGCUUUUACACGUGGAAACUUGUGCAUAUUAUUGAAAGUUCUACUCAGCAUUCAACCUACAGAGCACCGCUGAAGUUGG